GAAAUGCGAUAAUUAAUGUGAAUUGCAGAAUUCAGUGAAUCAUCGAGUCUUUGAACGCACAUUGCGCCCCCUGGUAUUCCGGGGGGCAUGCCUGUCCGAGCGUCAUUGCUGCCCUCAAGCACGGCUUGUGUGUUGGGCUUCCGUCCCUGGCAACGGGGACGGGCCCAAAAGGCAGUGGCGGCACCAUGUCUGGUCCUCGAGCGUAUGGGGCUUUGUCACCCGCUCCCGUAGGUCCAGCUGGCAGCUAGCCUCGCAACCGAUCUUUUUAACCAGGUUGACCUCGGAUCAGGUAGGGAUACCCGCUGAACUUAAGC
rnacentral:misc_RNA from 1 species